UGCCAUCGUCACUCCCUCAGGAUGAGCGCGCAGCGGAUAUUAUCGGCCUCAACCCUCCUAAUAGCAGCUGCCUGCAGCGUCGUCAGAUACCACUCUUAACGAUACAAACCGGUCGAUCCUCGCCCAAAAAACCUCCACGGCGCAGAGGGCGAGAGGUCCGCGCUCAGUUGGAAGAUUGCUGCUCGAGCUUAACCUCUUGGUAGAGUGGAAAGGUGGAAGGGGAAAGACAAGGACAAAGUUGGUGUGAAAAGGGGAUGAGGACGACGGGCCCAGC
rnacentral:lncRNA from 1 species